CUACGGGUUGCACCAGUGGGGAAUAUUGCACAAUGGGCGCAAGCCUGAUGCAGCAACGCCGCGUGAGGGAUGAAGGCCUUCGGGUUGUAAACCUCUUUUAGCAGGGAAGAAGCGAAAGUGACGGUACCUGCAGAAAAAGCACCGGCUAACUACGUGCCAGCAGCCGCGGUAAUACGUAGGGUGCAAGCGUUGUCCGGAAUUAUUGGGCGUAAAGAGCUCGUAGGCGGUUUGUCACGUCUGCUGUGAAAAUCCAAGGCUCAACCUUGGACUUGCAGUGGGUACGGGCAGGCUAGAGUGCGGUAGGGGAGAUGGGAAUUCCUGGUGUAGCGGUGGAAUGCGCAGAUAUCAGGAGGAACACCAAUGGCGAAGGCACAUCUCUGGGCCGUAACUGACGCUGAGGAGCGAAAGCGUGGGGAGCGAACAGGAUUAGAUACCCCGGUAGUC
rnacentral:rRNA from 1 species